AUUGAACGCUGGCGGCAGGCCUAACACAUGCAAGUCGAGCGAGCGGCGGACGGGUGAGUAAUGUAUGGGGACUGCCCGAUAGAGGGGGAUAACUACUGGAAACGGUAGCUAAUACCGCAUACUAUCGGAUAACCCAUAUGGGAUUAGCUAGUAGGUGGGGUAAUGGCUCACCUAGGCGACGAUCCCUAGCUGGUCUGAGAGGAUGAUCAGCCACGCUGGGACUGAGAAACGGCCCAGACUACUACGGAGGAAGCAGUGGGGAAUAUUGCACAAUGGCGAAAGCCUGAUGCAGCAAUGCAGCGUGUAUGAAGAAGGCCCUAGGGUUGUAAAGUCCUUUCAGUCGGGAGGCGUUACCGACAAAAGAAGCACCGGCUAACUCCGUGACAGCAGCCGCGGUAAUAC
rnacentral:rRNA from 1 species